UCCGCACGAGCGCUACCCCUGUCUUCAGUUGCCAUCGGGUUGAUGCCGAGCUCUCUGGAGAGACUGCCCAGGAUAACGGGGAGGAAGGUGGGGAUGACGUCAAGUCAGCAUGGCCUUUAUGCCUGGGGCUACACACGUGCUACAAUGGCCGGUACAAAGGGUUGCAAUCCCGCAAGGGGGAGCCAAUCCCAAAAAACCGGCCUCAGUUCAGAUUGGAGUCUGCAACUCGACUCCAUGAAGCAGGAAUCGCUAGUAAUCGCGCAUCAGCACGGCGCGGUGAAUACGUUCCCGGGUCUUGUACACACCGCCCGUCACGCCAUGAAAGUCAGCUGUACCUGACGUCGCUGGAGCUAACCCGCAAGGGAGGCAGGUGCCCACGGUAUGGUUGGUGAUUGGGGUGAAGUCGUAACAAGGUAGCCGUAGGGGAACCUGCGGCUGGAUCA
rnacentral:rRNA from 1 species